UUUUGAGUAUACGAAGCUCCCUGUUUCUCUAGGUUCACCUGAGAUUUAUCUGGUCUUUCAGGGCUUAAAAGGGAGACAUUCCCAAAGAAGAUUCCGUGGGAAGUCUCCUACAAGCCCCGAAGGAAGGGAAUCUCUCUCCUCAUACCUUGAGUUUCCUGAGUACAAUUAUUAUAGAUAUACGAAGAUCUCUGUGCUCAUGGAGAAUUUGUGUCAAGGGAUUUGUACAGCCCUGUAGGAGACACCUCCAGAGAAAGUAACAGCUCUCAAUUGAUUAGCUGAGAAGCCUCAGGGGCUGGAUCCUGACAUGAACCAGACACCUCCAGAAUUCUAUCCCAAGCAAAAGAUUAUUUCAAGGCCAGAACUCACUCCCUGCUGGAGACUGACUACAAGAUCCACUGAGAUUGAUGUGUAACCUGAUUGGGCCCACAGUGAUGCUAGCCCCUUCACCAGAUGGAACAAUAAUUCCAGACAAGCCAUCAGAGCAGGUCACACCACUUGACACCUUCUCGCCCCCUUGCCUCUCCUGCAUUCCAAACCCCUCUCUUUAAAAUCCCCAUGUUCCCUCCGUAAACUGGGCAGUGCCAAUUGUUGGAAAGAAUUCUGGCACUCUUUUCCUUCUUAGCAUGGAUAAAAAGAUUCACCCUCUUUUUAUCACACCUCACUCUUGUUAUUUUGGCUUCUUUCUACAAGUGGUGAGCAACCGGGCCCCCUUUGCUGGUUAUAGUAUGAACUAUUUUAUUUUUUUUAAUCUACAAUAAAAUAAAAUACAUUCAUUAGA
rnacentral:lncRNA from 1 species